rnacentral:rRNA from 1 species
AGUGAACGCUGGCGGUAUGCCUAACACAUGCAAGUCGAACGGCAGCACAGUAAGAGCUUGCUCUUACGGGUGGCGAGUGGCGGACGGGUGAGGAAUACAUCGGAAUCUACUUUUUCGUGGGGGAUAACGUAGGGAAACUUACGCUAAUACCGCAUAUGACCUACGGGUGAAAGCAGGGGAUCUUCGGACCUUUCGCGAUUGAAUGAGCCGAUGUCGGAUUAGCUAGUUGGCUGGGUAAAGGCCCACCAAGGCAACGAUCCGUAGCUGGUCUGAGAGGAUGAUCAGCCACACUGGAACUGAGACACGGUCCAGACUCCUACGGGAGGCAGCAGUAGGGAAUAUUGGGCAAUGGGCGCAAGCCUGAUCCAGCCAUACCGCGUGGGUGAAGAAGGCCUUCGGGUUGUAAAGCCCUUUUGUUGGGAAAGAAAAGCAGCGGGUUAAUCCCCCGCUGUUCUGACGGUACCCAAAGAAUAAGCACCGGCUAACUUCGUG